rnacentral:rRNA from 1 species
GAUGAACGCUGGCGGCGUGCUUAACACAUGCAAGUCGAACGGAAAGGCUCCUGCUUGCAGGGGUACUCGAGUGGCGAACGGGUGAGUAACACGUGGGUGAUCUGCCCUGCACUUCGGGAUAAGCCUGGGAAACUGGGUCUAAUACCGGAUAGGACGAUGGUUUGGAUGCCAUUGUGGAAAGUUUUUCGGUGUGGGAUGAGCUCGCGGCCUAUCAGCUUGUUGGUGGGGUAAUGGCCUACCAAGGCGUCGACGGGUAGCCGGCCUGAGAGGGUGUACGGCCACAUUGGGACUGAGAUACGGCCCAGACUCCUACGGGAGGCAGCAGUGGGGAAUAUUGCACAAUGGGCGGAAGCCUGAUGCAGCGACGCCGCGUGGGGGAUGACGGCCUUCGGGUUGUAAACUCCUUUCGCUAGGGACGAAGCGCGAGUGACGGUACCGGGAGAAGAAGCACCGGCUAACUACGUG